UACGGGGGGGGCAAGCGUUGUUCGGAAUUACUGGGCGUAAAGGGCUUGUAGGUGGCCAACUAAGUCAGACGUGAAAUCCCUCGGCUUAACCGGGGAACUGCGUCUGAUACUGGAUGGCUUGAGUGUGGGAGAGGGAUGCGGAAUUCCAGGUGUAGCGGUGAAAUGCGUAGAUAUCGUUUGGAACGCCGAUGGUGAAAACAGCUUGCUGGGGGUGUGCUGACGCUGAGACACGAAAGCCAGGGGAGCAAACGGG
rnacentral:rRNA from 1 species